GACGAACGCUGGCGGCGUGCCUAAUACAUGCAAGUCGAGCGGAAGUUGGAGAGCUUGCUCUUCAACUUUAGCGGCGGACGGGUGAGUAACACGUGGGCAACCUGCCCUGCAGAUCGGGAUAACUCCGGGAAACCGGUGCUAAUACCGAAUAGUUUUCGCCACCUCCUGGUGGCGUACGGAAAGACGGUUUCGGCUGUCACUGCAGGAUGGGCCCGCGGCGCAUAGCUAGUUGGUGGGGUAACGGCCCACCAAGGCGACGAUGCGUAGCCGACCGGAGAGGGUGAUCGGCCACACUGGGACUGAGACACGGCCCAGACUCCUACGGGAGGCAGCAGUAGGGAAUCUUCCGCAAUGGACGAAAGUCUGACGGAGCAACGCCGCGUGAGUGACGAAGGUUUUCGGAUCGUAAAACUCUGUUGUGAGGGAAGAACAAGUACCAAUUAACUACUGGUACCUUGACGGUACCUCACCAGAAAGCCACGGCUAACUACGUGCCAGCAGCCGCCGUAAGAC
rnacentral:rRNA from 1 species